AUGCGGUAUGACGGUACCCUUUCGAAUAAGAGGUUGCUAACUCUGUGCCAGCAGCAGCGGUAAUACAGAGACCUCGAGCGUUAUCCGGAUUUACUGGGCGUAAAGCGUCUGUAGGGGGUUUGUUAAGUUCCAAGUAAAAUCUUAAGGCUCAACUUUAAGUUCGCUUGGAAAACUAAUAAACUGGAGUCCAGCAGAGGUGCAUGGAACUUGCGGUGUAGGAGUGAAAUCCGUUGAUAUCGCAAGGAACACCAAAGGCGAAGGCAUUGCACUGGGCUGGUACUGACCCUGAGAGACGAAAGCGUGGGGAGCAAAACGGAUUAGAUACCCGUGUAGUCCACGCCGUAAACGAUGGAUACUAGAUGUUCGGGGAUUCGACCCCCUGGGUGUCACAGCUAACGCGUUAAGUAUCCCGCCUGGGAAGUACGGCCGCAAGGCUAAAACUCAAAGGAAUAGACGGGGAUCCGCACAAGCGGUGGAGCGUCUGGUUUAAUUUGAUAGUAAGCAAUGGACCUCACCAAGGUUUGACAUCCUAUGACAACCCUGGAAACAGGGCUUCCUUCGGGCAUAGUGACAGGUGCUGCAUGGUCGUCGUCAGUUCGUGCCGUGAGGUGUUCCGUUAAGUCGGGAAACGAACGAAACCCUCGUCGCAUGUUACAAAUUUCAUGCGAGACUGCCCGGGUCAACCGGGAGGAAGGCGGGGAUGACGUCAGAUCAGCAUGGCCCUUAUACCUUGGGCUACACAGGCGCUACAAUGGCCGGUACAAAGGGUUGCAAAACCGCGAGGUGAAGCUAAUCCCAUAAAGCCGGUCCAAGUUCGGAUUGGAGGCUGCAACUCGCCUCCAUGAAGUUGGAAUCGCUAGUAAUCGUGGAUCAGCCAUACCACGGUGAAUACGUUCCC
rnacentral:rRNA from 1 species